GUAGGGAAUAUUGGGCAAUGGAUGCAAGUCUGACCCAGCCAUCCCGCGUGCCGGAAGAAGGCCCUCAGGGUUGUAAACGGCUUUUGACGGUGAAGAAUCGACAGGAUGCGUCCUGUUUUGACGGUAGCCGUUGAAUAAGCACCGGCUAACUCCGUGCCAGCAGCCGCGGUAAUACGGAGGGUGCGAGCGUUGUCCGGAUUUAUUGGGUUUAAAGGGUGCGUAGGCUGGAAGGUCAGUCAGCGGUGAAAAGCUGUCGCUUAACGAUAGUCUUGCCGCAGAUACUUCCUUUCGUGGAUGAGGAGGAGGCCACUGGAACGGAUGGUGUAGCGGUGAAAUGCAUAGAUAUCAUCCAGAACACCGAUUGCGAAGGCAGGUGGCUGUACCUUAAUCGACGCUGAUGCACGAAAGCAUGGGGAGCAAACAGGAUUAGAUACCCGAGUAGUCC
rnacentral:rRNA from 1 species